UUUAAAAUAUUUAUAAUGUAGCUAACCUAACUUAAUAGACCAUUAGUAUCCUUUUAUCAAGACCGCCAUAUUUAUAUACAAUUAACAAAAAAAACCGAAGAUGCACGAUCGGGAGUUUGGCUCUCUCGUCUGUGAAAAGGAUUCCCCUAGCCGAACUCGGACUUCACUCUAUCGCCUGUUGGAACUCUCAGAACUCUCGCGGAGGCUGUCGUCGCCGCUUUUAUAUCAUUAGCAGUCUAUCUGGAGUUGACUGGAGUGGUUGUGAUGUGUCGCGUUAUCCCAGGUCGACCCAACGCUCGAAGCAUCCAGAAUAAUGGCGCUUAGGGCUGAGCAUAUAGUCGUUAUCCGAAAGUGCCGUCAACAGUUAUUCCUCUGGCAGCUUGUUCACCUCCUGUUUCCUACAAACGUUUUUCGGAUGACUGCCAGUUAUGUUAUAUGUAAAUAUGGCAACGCAACAGAGCACAAAUUGUACUCACCGAUAGCACUUCAAUUGAGUAUAGGAACCCACCCUUUCAUUUUCGAUCGUCUUUUGUGGCGCGAACUACUGCAUAAUAAUUCAAACACGUGCAUAGUAAAUUUUGGAGGUUUAGGAAGUAUUAUUUUUUGUGUGGAUUUAGUCAGUGUAGAUGAGUACGCCUAAAAAUGUUGCCUUUACCCAAGCCGACAAAUACGUGUUGUUUGAUUUAGUAAAAAAAAAAAAAAAAAGGGAAGUUUGUGAAAAUAAGAAAACUGACUCCGUUACGAAUAACGAAAAGAAAGCCACGUGGAAGAUAAUAAUAGAUUUUGGAGUUCAAUGCUAGUAACGUCACUACGAAAUGAGAUGAUGCCGAGCUAAAAAGGUAUGUGUGAAUAUAUUAAACUUGUAAAUUAUGUUAGUUUUCACUUCAAUUGAGUAUAGGAACCCACCCUUUCAUUUUCGAUCGUCUUUUGUGGCGCGAACUACUGCAUAAUAAUUCAAACACGUGCAUAGUAAAUUUUGGAGGUUAGGAAGUAUUAUUUUUUGUGUGGAUUUAGUCAGUGUAGAUGAGUACGCCUAAAAAUGUUGCCUUUACCCAAGCCGACAAAUACGUGUUGUUUGAUUUAGUAAAAAAAAAAAAAAAAAAAAAAAAAAAGGAAGUUUGUGAAAAUAAGAAAACUGACUCCGUUACGAAUAACGAAAAGAAAGCCACGUGGAAGAUAAUAAUAGAUUUUGGAGUUCAAUGCUAGUAACGUCACUACGAAAUGAGAUGAUGCCGAGCUAAAAAGGUGUUGGGGGGGAAAAACCAGAAACCACAGCGAGGAAGCAUCGAGAGACGGAAAUACUUCACGCCAUGGCAACAGGAGGGGGCAAAGAGUUUGUUCCGCACCUCAGAUGGAGGAAAUAUCUACUGUUGUGCCCUCUACCAGCCGUAUUUUGAUUUGAAGGUGGUUUCGGCGUGGGAUAGUAAUGCCAGGGCUGACUCCAGCGCCACAACUGUUUCUGCCGUAGCCGAACUGGAUGAAGAAGUGGCAGAUGCUCCAGACACCCCAGCAAUUUGUGGGCGCUACCAGACCUACAUCAUCCCAGAACUUGGAUAAUCCUGACAAGAUGGAAUUUUUUCAGCCCCCAAACUACCAACUAGCAAGGAGGGACUUCUUUUCUGUCAAGUCCACCCCCAAGGUUGAGGCAGAAGUAAUGAAGAGGAUUGAAAAAAUAAUUGACGGAGAAAUAAGAAUGCUUCGUGAAAGUCAUACAGCAAAACUAAAACAAAAUGCCGAGUUGCAUGCUGUAGUAAUGAAGCAAAAUGAGGAAAUACAGGCUGUUAAACUCGCGAGGGAAAAACUUUUGUUUCGCUGAUGCAAGCACAUGAAUGUAAAAACAUGGGGAAAAAAUAAUUUGUAGUGUACUUGUAAAUAAUGUAAUUUUGUAUCCUGAAGUAUUCUGAUUGUUAAUUAAAUUUUUUCUUUGGGUUUCAGUCCAUUUAUAUUAAAAAUAUAUAUAUAUAGUAUAUAUUCAUAUACUUUUAAUUGCAAAACCUGUUUAUUUUUUAU